rnacentral:rRNA from 1 species
CCCUCAGCGUCAGUACAUACGUAGUAGACUGCCUUCGCAAUCGGUAUUCUGUGUAAUAUCUAUGCAUUUCACCGCUACACUACACAUUCUAUCUACUUCCAUAUGACUCAAGUCAACCAGUAUCAAAGGCAGUUCCAUAGUUGAGCUAUGGGAUUUCACCUCUGACUUAAUCGACCGCCUGCGGACCCUUUAAACCCAAUGAUUCCGGAUAACGCUCGGACCCUCCGUAUUACCGCGGCUGCUGGCACGGAGUUAGCCGGUCCCUAUUCUUACAGUACCGUCAAGCUGGUAUACAUACCAGUGUUUCUUCCUGUAUAAAAGUAGUUUACAACCCAUAGGGCAUUCUUCCUACACGCGGCAUGGCUGGAUCAGAGUCUCCUCCAUUGUCCAAUAUUCCUCACUGCUGCCUCCCGUAGGAGUCUGGUCCGUGUCUCAGUACCAGUGUGGGGGAUCUCCCUCUCAGGACCCCUACCUAUCGCUGUCUUGGUAAGCCGUUACCUUACCAACUAACUAAUAGGACGCAUAGCCAUCUCUUACCGAUAAAUCUUUAAUUAAAACUUGAUGCCAAGUCUCAAUACUAUAAGGUAUUAAUCUUCAUUUCUAAAGGCUAUCCCUCUGUAAAAGGUAGGUUCUAUACGCGUUACGCACCCGUGCGCCGGUCGUCAUCUGUAGCAAGCUACAAUGUUACCCCUCGACUUGCAUGUGUUAAGCCUGCCGCUAGCGUUCAUCCUGAGCCAGGAUCAAAC